AUUGAACGCUGGCGGCAUGCCUUACACAUGCAAGUCGAACGGCAGCACGGGAGCAAUCCUGGUGGCGAGUGGCGAACGGGUGAGUAAUAUAUCGGAACGUGCCCAGUCGUGGGGGAUAACGUAGCGAAAGCUACGCUAAUACCGCAUACGAUCUAUGGAUGAAAGCGGGGGAUCACAAGACCUCGCGCGAUUGGAGCGGCCGAUAUCAGAUUAGGUAGUUGGUGAGGUAAGGGCACACCAAGCCGACGAUCUGUAGCUGGUCUGAGAGGACGACCAGCCACACUGGGACUGAGACACGGCCCAGACUCCUACGGGAGGCAGCAGUGGGGAAUUUUGGACAAUGGGCGCAAGCCUGAUCCAGCAAUGCCGCGUGCAGGAUGAAGGCCUUCGGGUUGUAAACUGCUUUUGUACGGAGCGAAAAGGCUUCCACUAAUACAGGGGGCUCAUGACGGUACCGUAAGAAUAAGCACCGGCUAACUACGUGCCAGCCGCCGCAGUAACAC
rnacentral:rRNA from 1 species